rnacentral:rRNA from 1 species
GACGUAGGGCGCGAGCGUUGUCCGGAUUUAUUGGGCGUAAAGAGCUCGUAGGCGGCUUGUCGCGUCGACUGUGAAAACCCGCGGCUCAACUGUGGGCUUGCAGUCGAUACGGGCAGGCUGGGGUUCGGUAGGGGAGACUGGAAUUCCUGGUGUAGCGGUGAAAUGCGCAGAUAUCAGGAGGAACACCGGUGGCGAAGGCGGGUCUCUGGGCCGAUACUGACGCUGAGGAGCGAAAGCGUGGGGAGCGAACAGG